rnacentral:rRNA from 1 species
UUAGAGUUUGAUCCUGGCUCAGGAUGAACGCUAGCGGCAGGCUUAACACAUGCAAGUCGAGGGGCAGCGAGAUCAGUGCUUGCACUGAUUGUCGGCGACCGGCGCACGGGUGCGUAACGCGUAUGCAACCUACCCAUUACAGGGGGAUAACACUGAGAAAUCGGUACUAAUACCCCAUAACAUCCAGGGAGGCAUCUUCUUGGGUUGAAAACUCCGGUGGUAAUGGAUGGGCAUGCGUUGUAUUAGUUAGUUGGUGGGGUAACGGCUCACCAAGACAACGAUACAUAGGGGGACUGAGAGGUUAACCCCCCACAUUGGUACUGAGACACGGACCAAACUCCUACGGGAGGCAGCAGUGAGGAAUAUUGGUCAAUGGACGCAAGUCUGAACCAGCCAUGCCGCGUGCAGGAAGACGGCUCUAUGAGUUGUAAACUGCUUUUGUACGAGGGUAAACGCAGAUACGCGUAUCUGUCUGAAAGUAUCGUACGAAUAAGGAUCGGCUAACUCCGUGCCAGCAGCCGCGGUAAUACGGAGGAUUCAAGCGUUAUCCGGAUUUAUUGGGUUUAAAGGGUGCGUAGGCGGUCGGAUAAGUUAGAGGUGAAAUCCCGGGGCUCAACUUCGGAAUUGCCUCUGAUACUGUUCGGCUAGAGAGUAGUUGCGGUAGGCGGAAUGUAUGGUGUAGCGGUGAAAUGCUUAGAGAUCAUACAGAACACCGAUUGCGAAGGCAGCUUACCAAGCUACUUCUGACGUUGAGGCACGAAAGCGUGGGGAGCAAACAGGAUUAGAUACCCUGGUAGUCCACGCAGUAAACGAUGAUAACUCGUUGUCGGCGAUACAGUGUCGGUGACUAAGCGAAAGCGAUAAGUUAUCCACCUGGGGAGUACGUUCGCAAGAAUGAAACUCAAAGGAAUUGACGGGGGCCCGCACAAGCGGAGGAACAUGUGGUUUAAUUCGAUGAUACGCGAGGAACCUUACCCGGGCUUGAAAGUUAGUGACGGAUCUUGAAAGAGGUCUUCCCUUCGGGGCACGAAACUAGGUGCUGCAUGGUUGUCGUCAGCUCGUGCCGUGAGGUGUCGGGUUAAGUCCCAUAACGAGCGCAACCCCUACCGUUAGUUGCCAGCAGGUCAAGCUGGGCACUCUGACGGGACUGCCGGUGUAAGCCGAGAGGAAGGUGGGGAUGACGUCAAAUCAGCACGGCCCUUACGUCCGGGGCUACACACGUGUUACAAUGGUAGGUACAGAGGGCCGCUACCCCGUGAGGGGAUGCCAAUCUCGAAAGCCUAUCUCAGUUCGGAUCGGAGGCUGAAACCCGCCUCCGUGAAGUUGGAUUCGCUAGUAAUCGCGCAUCAGCCAUGGCGCGGUGAAUACGUUCCCGGGCCUUGCACACACCGCCCGUCA